AACAGGACGUGGCCCGCCCGCCGCGAGCCUCUCUCAACAUCAAGAUGGCUGCGCGCGAGGCCAACAGGUGGGCUCAGAGGCGGUGCAUGCAGCAUGUGAACACCUUGUCUUUUCUGUUCUCUCCUUUCCUCCGCCGUCGGGUGCAGCCCUGGCCAGGUGAACGAACCAGUCAGAUUCAAGUAAGCUGUCUUUGUUGGCGAGAGCCGGGGAGGUAGUCUAUUACACACUUCUGCUCUUAAAGAGAAGCUUUAAGAGCCAUUGCUGAAAGAGAAGACUGCAUGCUGUUCUUUGAAAGGAGGCAGUGGGAGUUCUUUCUUAAAAAAACACCUCCAAAACAAUCAUACAGUGACUUCUGAGCAUCGUCUCAGCUGCUGGAAACGGAGUUGAGAAGCAGCAGCUCAUCACUCAGGUGAUUCUGCAGGAGGUCUAAAAUUCUGCAUAUCGCUGGACUGUACUGCAGUUUUACCCUAACCAACAUUAACUACACAGAAACUCAAAGAAGUGGAGCCUGCCUCUCUGAAGUUCCUGCGGAUUGGAUGAAUGACUGAUUAGAGAGGAUUCUUACCAAAAGCAGAGUCCAUGUCUGUGAAGCUCUGUUGAUACGAAGCAAUUAUAAAAUCACGUUUCCUAUAGGAGGUCACCAUGGUCGAGAAAAGAACAAUGCUGUGAAGGACUCUUAUCUCCAGAGUUCCCAUUCUGCUUUUGUCAUUUCUGUCAGAAUGAAAUCAGGUCCUUUUCUUCCUGAUCUGAACCAUCAGAUCAGUGAAAUAAUGCUAGCUUUUCUAAUUAAGUCUGUCCGUAUUAACCUUCUCUUUAUCUGCCAAUUACAUCUCAUCAGACCACCUUUCUCUGCAAACUAAACUUCAUAAAAUCUCCUCUAUAAAAACUGAAA